rnacentral:misc_RNA from 1 species
AAACACUUAACAUAAAUCAGCUAUUAUCAGCUAUCAGCUAUCUGCUAAGUUAUCAGUUGUAUUCAACCGUUAAACCAAACAGGCCCUUAAUCUCAAACUAUUUGAGGUUGACUAUGGAUCUUUUUUCACCAUCCAGCUCUAUUACACACCAGGUUCACCUCGAUAUCUCUCCACAUCAUCUUAGACCUCCACCUUCCCCUUCUCACUCCUUCCCCUACUAACUCAUAGACGCACAAAUGGGGGAAAAUGACUUACAAAUAGAUGUGGCAACAAAAAAAAAAAAAAAUUGUUUUAU